UACAGAGGUCUCAAGCGUUGUUCGGAUUUACUGGGCGUAAAGGGCGCGUAGGCGGCGUAACAAGUCACUUGUGAAAUCUCCGGGCUUAACCCGGAGCGGCCAAGUGAUACUGUUGUGCUAGAGUGCGGAAGGGGCUACUGGAAUUCUCGGUGUAGCGGUGAAAUGCGUAGAUAUCGAGAGGAACACCUGCGGCGAAGGCGGGUAGCUGGGCCGACACUGACGCUGAGGCGCGAAAGCCAGGGGAGCGAACGGG
rnacentral:rRNA from 1 species